GACGAACGCUGGCGGCGUGCUUAACACAUGCAAGUCGAACGAAAAUACCAAGCUUGCUUGGUUGAUUAGUGGCGAACGGGUGAGUAACACGUGAGUAACCUGCCCCUUACUUUCCUGGAUAACUGCUCGAAAGGGUAGCUAAUACGGGAUAUUCAGACCAGCCUGCAUGGGUUGGUUUGGAAAGGUUGUUUUUCUGGUAAGGGAUGGGCUCGCGGCCUAUCAGCUUGUUGGUGGGGUGAUGGCCUACCAAGGCUUUGACGGGUAGCCGGCCUGAGAGGGUGGACGGUCACACUGGGACUGAGAUACGGCCCAGACUCCUACGGGAGGCAGCAGUGGGGAAUAUUGCGCAAUGGGCGCAAGCCUGAUGCAGCGACGCCGCGUGAGGGAUGAAGGCCUUCGGGGUGUAAACCUCUUUCGUCAGGGAACAAGGCACUGCUUUUUUGGUGGUGUUGAGGGUACCUGGAUAAGAAGCGCCGGCUAACUACGUG
rnacentral:rRNA from 1 species